AUUCUGUACACAGGAAACCUGAGGCACUCUGACUUUGACUAGUUUCUACUAAUGGGUGUUGGAAGCUGGGUCACCAGUUUUGGCAUGGACCUUACCUAACAGAAUUGCCUUUGCCCCCUGGAAAUUGUUUGAGCAUCCUGAGUGUGGGGAUUCAAAUGUGUGGCCCAAUACCUUACUGCAUGCCGGAGAGCCUCCAGUGUCAUCAAAAGUCACUGGAAGAUGCUUGUUCUCUCCCUCAUGCCUGUGGUACCAACCCUCUGCCAGAUCUGUGCAGCUCUUCUUACU